rnacentral:rRNA from 1 species
AGUGAACGCUGGCGGUAGGCCUAACACAUGCAAGUCGAACGGCAGCACAGUAAGAGCUUGCUCUUACGGGUGGCGAGUGGCGGACGGGUGAGGAAUACAUCGGAAUCUACUUUUUCGUGGGGGAUAACGUAGGGAAACUUACGCUAAUACCGCAUACGACCUACGGGUGAAAGCAGGGGAUCUUCGGACCUUGCGCGAUUGAAUGAGCCGAUGUCGGAUUAGCUAGUUGGCGGGGUAAAGGCCCACCACGGCGACGAUCCGUAACUGAUCUGAGAGGAUGAUCAGCCACACUGGAAGUGAGACACGGUCCAGACUCCUACGGGAGGCAGCAGUGGGGAAUAUUGGACGAUGGGCGCAAGCCUGAUCCAGCCAUACCGCGUGGGUGAAGAAGGCCUUCGGGUUGUAAAGUCCUUUUGUUGGGAAAGAAAAGCAGCAGGUUAAUACCCCGCUGUUCUGACGGUACCCAAAGAAUAAGCACCGGCUAACUUCGUG